rnacentral:rRNA from 1 species
UACGUAGGGUGCAGGCGUUAAUCGGAAUUACUGGGCGUAAAGCGUGCGCAGGCGGUCUCUUAAGACAGGUGUGAAAUCCCCGGGCUCAACCUGGGAAUUGCAUUUGUGACUGCACGGCUAGAGUGUGUCAGAGGGGGGUAGAAUUCCACGUGUAGCAGUGAAAUGCGUAGAUAUGUGGAGGAAUACCGAUGGCGAAGGCAGCCCCCUGGGAUAACACUGACGCUCAUGCACGAAAGCGUGGGGAGCAAACAGG